GCUCAGCAAUUCAAUAAGACUAGCUAGCCAUCAGGCUCCAGGAAUCUGCUCUCCUCCCUGGCACUAGGAUUACAGGUGCGUGUUCCUGCAGCAAGCACUUCACUGACAGAGCCGUCUCCCCAGGCCCAAAGUUCUAGCUGUGAACUAAUCCCUUGAGCUAGAAAGUGUGAAGGGAGUUGCAGUGGACCCAGCAACCCAGAUUAGUCAAUACUCACAAAAAAGGCCUGGGUAAAAAGUCACGUUCACACCCGGAAGUAAACUUUCUGCCUCCGCUGGCCCUUCCCUCAGAUAGUCCCAGUCGCCCCUUUCUGGACACAGACUGACCUGCUCCCAGGCAGCCCGCCCCUGCAUGCAGAUCUCCAGAGCUGGUUCCUUCUCAGCCCCCCUAAGCUCCACUCACCUGCUGCCCCUCAUCUUAGGGCCAAGCCUUCCAAUCCCGUCUCUGCCCAGACCCCAGCACCCUGGUCCUCUGCGUGGAACCUCCCUUGGACCUCAUGUGUCACAACCUACAUCAGAGCAUGUUCUGCCUGUUCAGCAUUUUCCUUAGACCUCCCAAGUGAAACUUUCUAAUUAGGGUUGUGCUGAGCUCAGUGAUUCUGGCAAGGGAUUCCCUAGGGGUGCCAGGGAACCAUAUCCGUGGACCCCAGGGACCACAGGACCCCAGUCCUGUCUAUGGCUGCAGUGACCUUCCUAAGGUCACAAACAGGAUGCUUCAGCUCCACACAGGAUACCUUGUUGCAGCCAAACCAUCACCCAAGAAAAUGAAGACCUCAGAGUAAGCCUUGAUUUCACAACAAAGGCCGUGUGCAAGGAGCACACACGUCACAAAUCUCACAAGCCAAGAAAGGGCCUCUGAUUGCUAUCCCUCAGCAAACUUCAGUGUGAUGGUCCCAGAGCUUUAGUAUGGGAACAGGAGGCAACAAGAUAAGAGUCAAAGGCAAAAAAGCAAGACUUGCCUUUUGGGGCAUCCAAGCAGCAGAGGGGGUCACACGUAUCUGCCUAAGUGUGGAUGAGGGAACUCCAGGCACAGGCUGCUCAGACCCCGUGGUAUGCCAGCAAGCCAACCUCCAGCCCCAUCCUGACCACAGAUGUCCCCGUCCCUUUUGCCUUUAGCAAGGGCCCUUGCAAGAGACCUGCUGGGAUACAGCCCACUAGUAGGGUUCAUGGCUACAGAUAAGAGAUGGGGCAGGGUUCCUCUGUCAUCUCUUCAAGGGAUAUCCCGUCGAGAGGGCUGCUUGUCCUCAUCUGACCUUUAGAGGACUACCUGAGAGCCGGGCCCCACAGCCGUGGUUACCAUAACAGAUCUGUUCUGUUCGGUGCCCGAGCAAGACAUUGGGUGCUGUAUGUGUAAGUAUGCACCAGAUCCAGACAUGGGGUACUGUAUGCGUAAGUAUGCACCAGAUCCGUGUCUAUAUGCAUAGUGCGUUUUCAUGGAAUGAGAGCACGUGUGCAGCGAGUGCCCAUGUGCAUUUCUGUGUGUGUGUGGCAUGUACACAGGUAAAUAAAUGUGCAACAGCAGCUCCUGUUAGAGACUAGGUGUAGGUGACACACUGGUGACGUCCCACCCACACUGACUGGUUAACAGGGUCUCUCUGUGGGAGAAGAACCUUCCUGAUCCUGCAGGCUCAAUCUGAAGUUUAUUUGCAGGAUGGUGGGUUAACUGUACUGUGAGGGCACCUGGUUCCCCAAACACUGAGCACCAAUGACUUUCUGCAGGAAUUACAAACAUGUCCACCAGGCCUGGCUUCUGAGUCUGUUAGCUCGCUAACAGAGCAGGCAAUUAUAAAAAGGUACACUGCAGACUCUCGGGCGCGCCAUGCACUGGCCCUGCUCCUGGGAGUCCGCCUAGAGGGCAGGCCACCUGGUGCCCAGCACAUCCAUCUCUCCGUGCUAAGGAACCAUCAACAUAGGGGCAAUAGCUAAGGGAACUGGUGUUCCUGGACCUCUGUGCCCGAGCCGCUGGGACUUUCUGGGAAGAGGCUGAAAUAUUAGACUCAACACUGAACUAGCACAAAGCUGAUCGAGGGCCCUUUCCCACCCACCAGCCACUACUUACCCUCAGUCACCUUCGUGCUAAUUCAGCUAGUACAGACUAGAGAGUACAGGCAACAUGUGUGCCAGAAGAGGCCAAACAUAUGUCUGUAAGAUGACACAUCAGUAAAAGGACAAAGAGGAGGAAGUGACAGCAAACUAGGUUGAGCUGCUCACAAGUUUAAGGAAUGUUUGAUUUCCUGGAGAUGGCAUUCUCAGAUCCUUUGGUAUCUGGUAUUCCACAAAGAGAAAUGAUGCAAAUUUGGCUCAUUUUGAGCUUGAAAUAAAAAUGACAGAAUCAAAGCAUUGCCACCUGAAGUCGGGGCAAAUGCAACGCUUGAGCCUCAGGUUAUAAUUACAGCUCACAGCUUAAAGACUUUAAUCCAACACAGAAACUCACGUUAGAUCACUUAUUUUUGUGCUGUGGGUGGCAAAGCUUACUGUGCAAACACGAAGGCGUAAGCACUGCACACACCGCCACUCUGGGCCUGCUGGGUGGGCUGCAGGUCACCACCCAGGUGGCUCCAGCUUCAUGGACGACAAGGGAGGGGCCUCCCACACAAAUGACCACAUGAUCUCCCGCUCACGUGGCCUGCAGAAUAACGUGACACAAAUGUACAGUGGUUCAGCCAGCCUGUAGAGUCACCAGCAGGUACCAGCAGAAGCACCGUGGUGUGGUGCCCAGACAGCCGCCACGGUGCUUUUCAUUCAGUUGGCCCCUGUCAGAGGACAGGGAAAUAGUGCUGUGUCUCAGAUACAGGGGGAUGUAACCUGGCCCGGUUUUCACAGCAGCCCCUGCUCUUGCUGUGGGUCUGUUUCACGUGCUGCCCCUACCUUGAGGUUUGAUCAACUAGUGAGAAGCACAGCCUACCACUCAUUCUCUUCUACAGCUGACGCCAGGACCCAGUCGUUCCAAAGCACUGAGCUGGUUUCCCUCCCAAAGCCCACAGCUUCCUCCUCUAUUUCCUAAAGUGAUCUUGAUAAGACUGGCACAGCGUCUUCCUUGACCAUGUCAUCAGACACCUCAAGAAAAUCCCCUGGCCCAGCUUUCCUUUGUGAAUGUUCUCAAAUUACUAAAUUAAAAUUUACGUUUCCCCUGCAUAUCCUGCAGGCAGAGGUUUCUGUUGAUGCUCCCCUCUCCACCAGGAGUCCUGUCUGGUUAGAGGCUGGCCUCCCCAGUCUCCAUGACCCCCACACCAGGGGUUCCAGCUAGAAUCACCCCCACAUCCUCCCAGGAGCCCACUCUUCGGGUCUCGGCUUGUCUAAGAGAUGCCCCCACCCAUGGUUAGCCCUCUCUCUGCAAGCCCUCUGUCCUCUCGCCUGCCCACCCUACAUCUGAUCCCCAUCCCUUCCCUCAGCUCCCACUCCUAUCCUGCUCCCUCUCUCCAACCACUUCUGUUGACUAUUCUAGCUCCCCUUCUGAGUGAGACUCCUGCAUCUUCUCUUGGGCCCUCCUUGUCUCUUGGCAUCUUUGGAUCUGUGGAUUAUAGCAUGGAUGUCCUGUACUAUAUGGCUAUCAUCCACUUAUAAGUGAGUAUAUACCAUGUGUGUCUUUCUGAGUCUGGGUUACCUCACUCAGGAUGGUCUUUUCUAGUUCCUUCCAUUUGCCUGCAAAUUUCAUGAUGUCCUUGUUUUUAAUAGCUGAGUAGUGAUCCAUCCACCAUAUAAAUUUAUCCACAAUUUCUAUCCAUUCUUCGGUUGAGGGACAUCUGGGCUGUUUCCAGUUUCUGGCUAUUAUGAAUAGAGAUGCUAUGAACAUAAUUGAGCAAAUGUCCUUGUGUGGUGGGGCAUCUCUUGGGUAUAUGCCCAGGAGUGGUAAAACUGGCAGAGAUAGAGGGAGUGUGCAACCAAUGCCUGGCCCAACCGGAGACUCACUCCACAGGAAAGAGCCACACAAUGAAAACUCGACACAAUGGAUUCACUCUGUGUUUGCAGACGGGAGCCUUGCAUAGCUGUCCUCUGAGAGGCUCUACCCAGCACUGGAUUGAAACGGAAACUGAGACUCACAGCCAACAUUGGGCAGAGCAUAGGAAGCCCUGUAAGGGGGGGGGGGGAAUAGAACAACCCAAAGGGGACAGGAGCUCCACAAGACCAAUAGUCCCCACUCACCUGGGCCCAGAGGGCCUUGCGGAGACUGAAGCACCAACCAGCACCAUGCGUGCACUAGACCUAGGCUCUCUACACAUAUACCCAAUGGGCAGCUUAGCCUCCCUGUAGGUCCCCUGGAAAGGGGAUCAGGAGCGGUCUCUGACAAGCUCUCUGUUGCGUGCUUUUCAGUCACUUUCCCCUGGAAAGGCAGCCUUGCCAGGACACUGAAAGAGGAAGUUCACAAGCCCCAGAGAUAGGAGGACGUGAGGUCUUGACUUCCCAGAGAGUAUGCCGCCUCCCCUGGGAUGUGAGAGCACCGCAGAAAGAUGCCCCUUGGGAACAACCUACAGAGCCCUGAGAAACAAGUACCCACGGACAAAUGCUGCCGGCCUCGCACACGCUGUCACAGGAGACGGGGCAGUUGAGACGUCCCUGACACAUCCUGUGCAACCUUAGCCAUUUAAAGUCUGUUAAGACUGAUUCCAUGCUGAGUCCACAGCUCCGAGAAUGCCGACUGAGUCCCGCUAGUCCGCAGGAUCGCUGGUCUCGUCUCAGCAAUUACGUGCUUCGCGUGUGUCUGUUAGGUGGCAGGAAAGACGGACUAAACCUGCACUACCCUGUGCACUUGUCUGCGGCUUCACUAUGUGUCUCGAGAUUCUCCCAGGACCGUCCUCUGAGCAUGUUUCCUGUGGGCUGGUCCCACCAGUGCCUCCUGACAGCAACUCCUGCAAGAUGCUUCUCUAAUGCUGUGACGAAGUUCAGAUACAAAGAGGGCAGGUUCUGUUGUACAUGAACUGAAUCUGGUAAAUGCUACAGGCCCAAAGUCCAGGGGCCUCAGAGUCAGUGGGAUGCUGGAAGCUGAAGCCUGGGUAGUAGAUAGAAGAUGCUCAGGAGGGAACUCCCCCCCCAGACAGCUCCACCCAGAUCAAGCGCAUAACCACUACCACCCUACAGCUGGAAGUACAGAACUAUAAACCCAUGUCUUCAGAGGCCACUUCCCCCAGUGCCCAGGGGCUAUACAGAGGGGACCAUCUUGCAGCAGAAACACCACUCCCUCCAUAGUGACAGUGUCUCAUACAUGGUGCAGACUGAAGAAUUAACAAGCUCACUCUUUUCCCCUUCCCACAUCUUUCAUCAGUGGGCCUGGAGGGCCAGGGACAGCCAAAGAAAAGUGAAAGGAGAUACUUAGCUAUGGAGACUCAGCUCAGCUACCCGCUGUGGCAACUCCUUCCGCCACGGGGCUUGCCAGCUUGUCAGGCCCCUCUUGGGUCUCAUAGUGAGCCAUGCUAGGCUUAGGCAAACGAGAACCAAGUUGAGAGCAAGCCUUCAUCUCGCACAACUAGGGAAGCUGAUGUUUGGCUUUGCAUGGAUAUUCCCUGACCUCUGUGGAACAGGAUACCCAGCAGCCCUGAACGACCCCUACAAGGUGACACAGCAUACUCUGACCCCACCCUAACCUCCUUGGUGGCAUGCCCUGUAACCCACCAUUAUGAGCUUCAUGGAAGAGCCCCGUCUCCACCACCCUGGGCCCAGUCACAUCAGUGACCCACAAGUAGUCUGGCUAUCCCAGCACCCCACCUGUUCGUGGACCGUCCAGGCAUUCCCAGAACUUAGUACGUUCUACUUACUCCAGGACUGAGUGUGUAGCUGCACACAGGUGGUAUCGGUAGAGGAGCAGGUGCUGGUCCACCCGGAAGACGCCGCCCCCUUUCCUGAGGUGCUCAUAAAAGAAUAGAAGAUCCUCUGGAACCCCCUGCAGACGCAAGAGGACAGCGCUCAUCUCUCUGGGCGACUCCGGCUGUCACAUGCUGUGUGACAGGGUGUUCUGUUGAGAGCCAAGCAUGGUGGCACUUGUCGCCCCAGCUAUCUGGGAGGCAGAGCUCACAGGAUGGCUUGAACCUGGACACUAGUGCUCAACCUGGACGGCACAGCAGGUGUUGCCCCGGUAAAAGAAAAGAAUCUGCUCUGACACUCAAGGGUGGUGUGGGGCGCGUGGGUCACAUGCCUGGAAUGGAGAUUAGCAACUUGUUUUUCUCAGCAGUUAAGACAGACGGGAGGGUGCAGCAGAGGAUAAGCUGGAUGAGUCUCAAGUCCCUAUUCUGCCUUAAAUUCUACUCUGUGGGUCAGCAAAGGUCUGUGGGUUAACUAUCAACAGAAACACCAUUGAUAAUCAGUGGGCAGAGCGGCCUCUCAGCUGCAUGGCCUUGAGACUGGAAAGCCCAGUAAUGUGCAGAAGAGGGGAGAGCAAGCUGGCUUCCUAAGAGGCCUUCAGGGAGGCACUGAACAGGCCAGAGGUUUGGUGGAAGCAAGGAAGGCUGAGAUACGAGGGAGUAAAGCUACCACCCACAGGGUCGUCUGUUACAAGGCUGUACUUGAUCACCAUGGGCAGAAGGGGGCAGUGUUGAGCCAAGAACUAGGCAAUGAGCAGGAGUGCUGGGCGGAGGCUGAGUCAUUUCCUGAACCCUAGCCUGCAGGCGCCCCUCCCCCAACUCAGGGGACUCCACAGAGAACCCAACUUCUCCUGGGUGGCGCUUACCUGUCCUCCUUCAUCAAAUGGGCCCACGUGGGAGAACCAGGCUCGUGAGCAGAACCAGGUAGGCAUGAUCACCGUGGGGCCAUGGGAGGUGAACACCUGAGAGCAAUCAGCAACGACGACAACAGGAAAGAACAGCUUGUUAGAAACAGCCCGGUCUCAGGGCUCAUCAAGAAAGUGACAAAAGAGGCAUGCCCCUGCUUUGCGGGAACAAGCAGUCAGAGCGCUCUACAGCGACCAGCCCAUAAAAGGAACAGGUGGAAAUUGACCAAGGCCACUUCCAGGUCCCCACUCUUCAGCUGUUGCUAAGCAUGCGAGGGGCCUCUGCUUAUGCAGGACAGUGGCGCUGUGCGCGUGAACUGACAGCGAGCACCUGCUUGAUUAGCACGAAAGGGUACCAGCAGUGACUAGAUAAUGAAGCUUCCUAGAAUGGCAUAAAUAUCAGAGGUGACUCAAGACAGAAAAUCUGAGUAAUUUCUAACGAGCCUGAAACUUGAGCUUUCCCACAAAGAAAAUUCCAGCCAGGCGGGGCUCUGGCAAACACUGCCAAAUGCUUAGAGAACCAAACCCCUCUUUACAAGCGCGUCUGGUGACAGUUGAGCAGAGAAGCCUUUCUAAACCACUAGGUACCAAAGCCAGGGGAGAACAGCUAGUGUGUUCCUCACGAAUAGGGCCGACCAAAUGCCAGCGAACCGAGUCCAUCUGCCGCCGAGGAGGACCAUACCACGUCAGGAUAAAUGCACCCCAAAGACUGAGGACAAAAAGCCAAAUGUGCUGAAGCACUGGGGAACCGGUGCUGUCAGAAGGAUCCGCUGAGGUAACGUGACCCGGCCCGGGGCCGCACACUCAGUAAGUCUCGCCUCCGCCACUCGCCCUUCGGGGUCUCCAUGCACCGGGACACACUGCGAAGUUUCCCGCACACUGCUCCGCUUCCUCAGGAGCCACCGCCUAGGCACCCUUUAACCCCCCCCACCAGAAUGUUUUUAUUAAAAGGCACUUCCCUGGGACACCCUCCCUAGAGCUUUCUGCUGCUGCACUUGUCACACCGGCCUGCAGUCACCUGCUUAUGAUUUGCCUCAGCACUGGGCCUUCCUGCAGGCAGAGACGUGUCUGGUUGAUUUCUGAGCCUCGGUACCCAGCCUGCCCCUCCUGGAAUAGCAAGAUUUCAUUCAAGAAGCUUGCAUUACUUUGACUAUACAUGGUCUGGGCCCAGCUGCAGCUGAUCCCAGGACAAAAGUCUGUAUCAGAAAGGGCAAACGAGUAGCUCAAUCUUGUUGGAGGUAGCAACGAACACCUGUAAGCAUUUCUGAGGUGCAGUGGCAUAUCGAUGUACACACACAUGAAUAAAUAAUAAAAAGAAAAAUGUGUAAAUUGUG